GGGUGGGCAGAGACAUUCCCCACGGGUGACAUUCCCCACGGGUUUCCAAGGGAGAGCCCCCUGUGGGACUGGAGAGCCCAGGGGACUGCAGAGACUAGAGAGAGAUGAGACCAGGAAGACACCAAGGCCCGGACCAGGGCAGCCAGAAGGGCCCUCAGCGCUGGUCCCUGCAGCUCCUCCUAAGCCAGAUCUGCCAGGGGAGCUCGGAAAUGCCUGUCGCGGAGCCUCGGUCCAUCCGCCCCUCCCAACCGGUCCGGCACAUCCAGGCGCACACACAUCUGUCCACAAACACACCCUCCCUCACACACACACAACUCACACACACACCAAUUCACACAUACACAACUCACACACCAACUCACACGCACACAACUCACACGCACAGCAACUCACAUACACAUCAACACACACAUACACAACUCACACACCAACUCACAUAUGUGCCAACUCACAUGCCAACUCACACACGGACUCACACACACACCAACUCACAUGCACACCAACUCACACAUACACAACUCACACACCAACUCACACAUACAUAACUCACACCAACUCACAUGCCAACUCACACAACUCAUAUGCGCUCACACAUACACAACUCACACACCAACUCACAUAUGUGCCAACUCACAUGUACACCAAUACACACACAUACACAAGUCACUUACACACCAACUCACAUACACACCAACUCACACAUACACAACUCACACCAACUCAUAC
rnacentral:lncRNA from 1 species